rnacentral:lncRNA from 1 species
GAAUUGGUGAAUGACAACAAAGAUGAAAUAAUGGGAACUAGAAUCUCAAAUUAGCAUGAAGAGGAGAGGAGCACUGGGCAAAAUAACCUUGCUGUCACAUUUCAGCUCCAUUUGCCCAGUCUGCCUGCCUCCGUGAUCCCCUGCAGCGCCGGCUGGAGCUCUGCGGUGCGUCAAUGAGGAGCUGCUGCGGAGGAAAGAAGGAGCGGCAUGGGGAACUGGGAGCCCAGAGCAAGAAAGAAGAGGAUGAUGUUGGCUGUCAGUCUCUUGGGAUUACGUUUGGCCUUUUGGAACCCCAGUUUGCACAUUCUACAUAUGAGAUUCUAGCAGGCGAGAUAUCAACUCUUAUGAAGAAAAAAUACGUUUGGAAACCUGUAGUCAGAUUCAAAUCAGAGAUGGUUAGUUAUAUAUCUAGCAAAGCUGUUUGCCAGCCUUCUGUGCUUUGUUUAACAUGCACAUCUUUAAGUUAGAAUCACCUAAAAUCUUAGAUGAUUUUUAUUCCUCAUCAAAAUUGUGAUCAUCUUUAAUAUUACUGAAAAAUGGUUGGCAUAUUCAAGUGCAUGGAAAACUAACCAAUAUAAAAUGGGAUAUUAGUCUGCCAAGGAACUGUCAUUAUAUUCUAGUGUGUAAAGUCUACUACUUUUCAUUCCUUUGCAAUUUUAUUUCCUCUUGUUCAUUUCUACUUUUAUUAGCAGGGUGCUGUUUUUUCUGAAGACAUUUACAAUGAACAUUAUUCAGUGCUCAUGGCAAACCUUCAACCAACAGGCUUUAAUGCAGCAUGUAUCAUUAUCCCAUUAUCAAGUCAUACUUUUCUCCAUUGGCUUUUCAAGUUAUUUAUUUAUUGUUGAGAAGAGUUCCCCUCUCAAUUACUAUUUUUAAGGUGUCUUUUCAGUGUCUAUACUUACACAGUAACGUCCUAUACAGUGACUGUCAUAUUUCAGUGAUGUCCGUGGUUCUGUUAAGUAAAGUCCUAAACAUGAAUGUAUUUUGACCAGGAAAACAACCCAAGCCAACUUAAAACCUGUCUCCUUUUUAUUUUUUUUUUAUUUUACUUAAAUACGACACAGCAGAGAAUUAAGUCGUCUGAUUUGCCAUCACUUCCAAGAAGAAAGCGCAUACUGUGAAGUGGGGUUAUGAAGUUAGCUUGUCACAAAUUAAUCUGUUUUCAGCAUUGCUAAUUAGUGAUUUAUGACGUUUACCAGUCAUCAGAAAUCAGCUUAAUUCAAUAUUACUUCUGUCUCCUUAAUGUCCUUCUAUUUAUCUAUUUUUAAUUUCAGCUCAUUUAUCUGUGUGAUGGAAGUGUUUGCUAAAUCAGCUGUCUUGAGGACAUUUACCCUUUCUUUUUUUUCCCCCCACCUAAAACUCAUGGUGUCCCUCAAAAAGUCCAAGUAAUCCAUUAUAGAAAAUGAUUUUCGAGGAGGAAGAUACUUGGCAAAGAUUGCAGAAGUAUUCAUCCCUAUGCUUUAGUGAUUUCAUAGCGUGUUUCAAUUUAAUCUUAAUAUGUUUGGUCAAUAACUCUCCUCAAAAUGUUGCUAGUUUUUUCUUCUCUAUUUUUCCUGUAGGAUGGAUUCUUUUCCACUUGGUGAGUUGUUGCCAGUGGAAAUAUUAGUGGAGUUCAAAGGGGAGGAAGUGUUUGGGAGAAAUCUAUAAGUACAUUGAAAGUAAUCCUGUGUUACAAACACGUUUGAUUAAGGUUAAGAGAAAUGGCAGGGAAAACCUAGCAGAAUGCCAUGCUUUAAAAUAUCAAAAAAAAACUUUCUUUAAAUUUUUGCAUCUACCUAAAAAGACAUAACUUGAUUCAAACUGCAGAGCCCUGAAAGUUCCUCAGAUUUUAGGACGUAAUUAAUGACAAAGUUUUUGGUUAAAAACAGAGGCGGCUUUAAAAAGUAGGUUAAAAACAGCAGCAAUUGCCCUAAGUGGUAAUUUCAAUAAAUGCCAAUGGAGACAUCUUUACA